rnacentral:rRNA from 1 species
GAUGAACGCUGGCGGCGUGCCUAAUACAUGCAAGUCGAGCGAACAGACGAGGAGCUUGCUCCUCUGACGUUAGCGGCGGACGGGUGAGUAACACGUGGAUAACCUACCUAUAAGACCGGGAUAACUUCGGGAAACCGGAGCUAAUACCGGAUAAUAUAUUGAACCGCAUGGUUCAAUAGUGAAAGACGGUUUUGCUGUCACUUAUAGAUGGAUCCGCGCCGCAUUAGCUAGUUGGUAAGGUAACGGCUUACCAAGGCAACGAUGCGUAGCCGACCUGAGAGGGUGAUCGGCCACACUGGAACUGAGACACGGUCCAGACUCCUACGGGAGGCAGCAGUAGGGAAUCUUUCGCAAUGGGCGAAAGCUUGACGGAGCAACGCCGCGUGAGUGAUGAAGGUCUUCGGAUCGUAAAACUCUGUUAUUAGGGAAGAACAAAUGUGUAAGUAACUAUGCACGUCUUGACGGUACCUAAUCAGAAAGCCACGGCUAACUACGUG